UACAUGGGGUGCAAACGUUGCUCGGAAUCAUUGGGCGUAAAGCGCGCGUAGGCGGUUACUUAAGUUGGAUGUGAAAGCCCUCGGCUUAACCGAGGAAGUGCAUCCAAAACUGAGUAGCUAGAGUACGAAAGAGGGUCGCGGAAUUCCCGGUGUAGAGGUGAAAUUCGUAGAUAUCGGGAGGAACACCGGUGGCGAAGGCGGCAUCCUGGACCGGCAUUGACGCUGAGGCGCGAAAGCCAGGGGAGCAAAGCGGG
rnacentral:rRNA from 1 species